rnacentral:rRNA from 1 species
AGUGAACGCUGGCGGUAGGCCUAACACAUGCAAGUCGAACGGCAGCACAGUAAGAGCUUGCUCUUACGGGUGGCGAGUGGCGGACGGGUGAGGAAUACAUCGGAAUCUACUUUUUCGUGGGGGAUAACGUAGGGAAACUUACGCUAAUACCGCAUACGACCUACGGGUGAAAGCAGGGGAUCUUCGGACCUUGCGCGAUUGAAUGAGCCGAUGUCGGAUUAGCUAGUUGGCGGGGUAAAGGCCCACCAAGGCGACGAUCCGUAGCUGGUCUGAGAGGAUGAUCAGCCACACUGGAACUGAGACACGGUCCAGAAUCCUACGGGAGGCAGCAGUGGGGAAUAUUGGACAAUGGGCGCAAGCCUGAUCCAGCCAUACCGCGUGGGUGAAGAAGGCCUUCGGGUUGUAAAGCCCUUUUGUUGGGGAAGAAAUCCAGCUGGUUAAUACCCGGUUGGGAUGACGGUACCCAAAGAAUAAGCACCGGCUAACUUCGUGCCAGCCGCCGCAGUAACAC